AUUGAACGCUGGCGGCAGGCCUAACACAUGCAAGUCGAGCGCGCGGCGGACGGGUGAGUAAUGUCGGGGACACUGCCUGAUGGAGGGGGAUAACUACUGGAAACGGCAGCUAAUACCGCAUCCCAUCAGAUGUGCCCAGAUGGGAUUAGCUAGUAGGGGGGGUAACGGCUCACCUAGGCGACGAUCCCUAGCUGGUCUGAGAGGAUGACCAGCCACACUGGAACUGAGACAAGGUCCAGACUCCUACGGGAGGCAGCAGUGGGGAACAUUGCACAAUGGGCGCAAGCCUGAUGCAGCCAUGCGGCGUGUAUGAAGAAGGCCUUCGGGGUGUAAAGUACUUUCAGCGGGGAGGCGUUACCCGCAGAAGAAGCACCGGCUAACUCCGUGCCAGCAGCCGCGGUAAUUC
rnacentral:rRNA from 1 species